UAUCGAACAAUUUCCACUCCUAGCUUUGCGCCAUUUUCCAAGCGGUGACAUUUUUGCAGCUAAUAAAUUUAUUACACGGUGUAUGAAAACGCGUUUGUACGAUGAAUAACGUUUCCAGUAUUCGCAGAGAAAGCAGCGAAGAAGUACAAAUAGUAAGCGACUCGGUGGAAGAAAAUUUGCAAUUGAAAAAAUCAAAAAGAGGCAUGUCAGAAGUGUGGAACUUCUUUGAGAAAGCACAAGACAAAAAGCACGCAAAAAUGUAGAAAAUGUGGUAAGACAUACAAAACAAGUGGAAACACUUCUAAUUUAUUAGACCACCUAAAGCGUGCGUACCCUUUGCGCGAUCGAGACAACGCAAAUCAAAAAAUUUCUUCGUUUUUUACACACGGUGAAACGUAUGACAGCAAAUCUGCACGUAAAGAACAACUUGAUCGCGCGUUGGUUUUAAUGAUUGCUUUAGACGUCCAACCAUUUCGAAUAGUGGAAGACAAAGGUUUCCGUAGCUUUGUAAAAUGUCUCGAUCCCCGGCACACUUUGCCAUGUCGAAGCAGUUUACAAGUGCAAAUCAAAAAUAUAUUUGACUCGAUUUAAUAUAAGGUACAUUAGACUUUAGAAAGCAUUGAAUACUGCGCAAUCACAACUGACUUGUGGACUUCACGUGCAAAUGAAAGUUAUGUUACAAUAACGUGCCACUUCGUUUCACCGAAUUUUGAACUACACUCUGCUGUGCUAAGUACUGAAAAAUUAAUUGACGAAUCAAAUCACUCGGCUGAGAACAUUGCUAGCACACUACGAGCUGU